GAGCGGCGAACGGGUGAGUAACACGUGAGUAACCUGCCCCUGACUCUGGGAUAAGCCUGGGAAACUGGGUCUAAUACCGGAUAUGACCANUUCGGGCAUCCGAUGGUGGUGGAAAGUUUUUUCGGUUGGGGAUGGACUCGCGGCCUAUCAGCUUGUUGGUGGGGUAGNGGCCUACCAAGGCGACGACGGGUAGCCGGCCUGAGAGGGCGACCGGCCACACUGGGACUGAGACACGGCCCAGACUCCUACGGGAGGCAGCAGUGGGGAAUAUUGCGCAAUGGGCGGAAGCCUGACGCAGCGACGCCGCGUGGGGGAUGACGGCCUUCGGGUUGUAAACCUCUUUCAGCAGGGACGAAGUUGACGUGUACCUGUAGAAGAAGCGCCGGCUAACUACGUGCCAGCAGCCGCGGUAAUACGUAGGGCGCAAGCGUUGUCCGGAAUUAUUGGGCGUAAAGAGCUCGUAGGUGGCUUGUCGCGGUNUGCCGUGAAAGCUUAGGGCUUACCCCUAGGUCUGCGGUGGAUACGGGCAGGCUAGAGGCUGGNAGGGGCAAGCGGAAUCCCU
rnacentral:rRNA from 1 species